CACGUAGGGUGCGAGCGUUAAUCGGAAUUACUGGGCGUAAAGUGUGCGCAGGCGGCCGAGCAAGUCGAGUGUGAAAGCCCCGAGCUUAACUUGGGAAUUGCGCUCGAAACUACUUGGCUGGAGUGUGGCAGAGGAAGGUGGAAUUCCAGGUGUAGCGGUGAAAUGCGUAGAGAUCUGGAGGAACACCGAUGGCGAAGGCAGCCUUCUGGGCCAACACUGACGCUCAUGCACGAAAGCGUGGGGAGCAAACAGG
rnacentral:rRNA from 1 species